rnacentral:rRNA from 1 species
CAGCCGCCACGGUAAUACCGAGGAUGCAAGCGUCAUCCGGAAUGAUUGGGCGUAAAGGGCUCGCAGGCGGUUUCUUAAGUCUGAUGUGAAAGCCCCCGGCUCAACCGGGGAGGGUCAUUGGAAACUGGGAAACUUGAGUGCAGAAGAGGAGAGUGGAAUUCCACGUGUAGCGGUGAAAUGCGUAGAGAUGUGGAGGAACACCAGUGGCGAAGGCGACUCUCUGGUCUGUAACUGACGCUGAGGAGCGAAAGCGUGGGGAGCGAACAGGAUUAGAUACCCCCGUAGUCCCUGUCUCUUAUAA